rnacentral:misc_RNA from 1 species
UGGUACUGGGCGAUGAGGAUGAGCUUCUGGCUUGCCUCCGCUUUAAACCUGCUGCACGACUGCAAGCUAUUGCUAGGUUUUAUGAAGUUGGUGUUUACAUUUUUUCAUAAUCUAGCGUUGGGGAGCGGCGUUAAACCUGAUGUCCCGUCUGCGGACUGAAGUUUGACCUCAAAUCAGAUAAGGAUACCCGCUGAACUUAA